UACAGAGGGUGCAAGCGUUAAUCGGAAUUACUGGGCGUAAAGCGCGCGUAGGCGGUUGUGUAAGUUGGAUGUGAAAUCCCCGGGCUUAACCUGGGAAUGGCAUUCAAAACUGCACGGCUAGAGUAUUGGAGAGGAAGGUAGAAUUCCAGGUGUAGCGGUGAAAUGCGUAGAGAUCUGGAGGAAUACCGAUGGCGAAGGCAGCCUUCUGGCCAAAUACUGACGCUGAGGUGCGAAAGCAUGGGGAGCAAACAGG
rnacentral:rRNA from 1 species